rnacentral:rRNA from 1 species
UCAGGAUGAACGCUAGCUACAGGCUAACACAGUGCAAGUCAGGGGCAGCAUGGUCUAGCAAUAGACUGAUGGCGACCGGCGCACGGGUGAGUAACACGUAUCCAACCUACGGCUAUUCCGGGAUAGCCUUUCGAAAGAAAGAUUAAUACCGGAUAGCAUAGCGAGAAGGCAUCUUCUUGCUAUUAAAGAAUUUCGAUAACCGAUGGGGGAUGCGUUCCAUUAGUUUGUUGGCGGGGUAACGGCCCACCAAGACAUCGAUGGAUAGGGGUUCUGAGAGGAAGGUCCCCCCACAUUGGAACUGAGACACGGUCCAAACUCCUACGGGAGGCAGCAGUGAGGAAUAUUGGUCAAUGGACGAGAGUCUGAACCAGCCAAGUAGCGUGAAAAGGAUGACUGCCCUAUGGGUUGUAAACUUCUUUUAUAUGGGAAUAAAGUGAGCCACGUGUGGCUUUUUGUAUGUACCAUACGAAUAAGGAUCGGCUAACUCCGUGCCAGCAGCUGC